CCAAAAGGACCUGCAUUAACCCACUGCACAUGCUGAGAGCUCAAGUGGCUGCUGUGUGUUAGUAGCAGGGGAGUUACUCGGUAUUAGAAAUAUGUUCACGAGGUCCUCAGUUGUAUUUGGCAUGAUCUGGAGACUGUCAGCCAGCACAGCCACCUGAAGUGGGAAGGACGUGGAGAUUUGGGAGAGUUUCUGAACAAGCUGAUCCUGACUGAGUCUGUCCUAGCAGAGAUCUGAUUGCUGCUCCAGGGACAGAAAGAUGGAGUCGGGUUAAGACUGUACUGAAAGGAAGAGCUGCACCCGACUGGCUGCAAACUGUCACGCUUGCUCUGCAACACUGGGACUUUUCCUGGAGGACUUGGCACCAAAGCAAUGUUAAUAAAAGUGUGUGGGAGACAAAGCAAUUCAUAACUCGGAAUGAAAAGUGCCUGCAAGAGUCAUCAGUCUCUUCCAUCAUCUCCACCAAAAUUGCGUGAUGGUGUUUUUGCCACAGACUUCAAAGGAAGUAGGGCUAUUGCAAGUAUUGGGGGAGCUAGGUGUGGAGUGGGAAGCAGAGUGCAUCUCUUCCCUUGCCCCUGCUCCCCUGAAGACUUCCUAGAGGGACAGUUUAUGGAGAAGACCAAAAAGCGGAGCUGAUUGCUGACCAGAAACAGUUAUUCCCACUAUUCAGAUCCAGCCCUUGAAUCAUGGCUCAACUUUUAAUGUGCCCUGUUGUUCCAAUACAGCAAAACAAGUUGGCAACACCACCAAUAUCCUGCCUCCAUUUACUGUAUGAUUGAAAUAACUUGCCAGUGUCCUGUUGUCAUAAAGUUAUCAUCCUUGAU